UGGCGGCAUGCCUUACACAUGCAAGUCGAACGGCAGCGGACCGUUCGGGUGCCGGCGAGUGGCGAACGGGUGAGUAAUAUAUCGGAACGUACCUUCAGGUGGGGAUAACGUAGCGAAAGUUACGCUAAUACCGCAUAUUCUGUGAGCAGGAAAGCAGGGGAUCGCAAGACCUUGCGCUGAUUGAGCGGCCGAUAUCAGAUUAGCUAGUUGGUGAGGUAAAGGCUCACCAAGGCGACGAUCUGUAGCGGGUCUGAGAGGAUGAUCCGCCACACUGGAACUGAGACACGGCCCAGACUCCUACGGGAGGCAGCAGUGGGGAAUCUUAGACAAUGGGCGCAAGCCUGAUCUAGCCAUGCCGCGUGGACGAUGAAGGCCUUAGGGUUGUAAAGUCCUUUCAGAUGGGAAGAUAAUGACGGUACCAUCAGAAGAAGCCCCGGCUAACUCCGUG
rnacentral:rRNA from 1 species